GAGACGGGGUGACACGAUCAUGCUGGUGUAAUAAUCCGGCGACAUUGUUCGGCUCGGCAGUUAGGGAGUGCGGUCAGCAAGUGUCAGACAGAUUGCGGGAUUUAGCGACGCGACGACACCCGUGUGCCUUCUUCGUCAUCGAGGUGCAGAGUGCUUCGGCCACCCUUCUCGUCGGCGAGGGUGGACGUAGGAUCCAGGGGCGUUCCGCGUGGGCCGAGUCACUCCGUUCGAGUCGCAAAGGACAGCGGCGACGAGUGUGCCGGUUUUUCAGGCCGGCUGGCAUCGCUAAAAGGCAACGUAAAUGGCAACGAAGGAUGCCAGGAUCGUGCGACGGAUGAAAGAACCGGCGACGUCGCGACAGCACAGCGCCCGAAGGGUAGGCCAACCAGAGCCGAGGGGAUCGGGGCCCCACUCUCCGAGGGACGCCAGAAGGAAAUCAGGUCCGAGAAACGCGUCAUACUCGUUGCCAUCGCGAGGAUUACGACCGGUGUACCCGAGACGGCGCUCGUAACCUUAACGACCGCACUCGGGCACCGGUCGGUCUAUCGGUCGCUCUGUCACGAUAAUCCUCCGGCUGCGAGGAAAAAACGCAGCAAAUCGCGUGAAUGCGUCGGGAUCGUAGUGGCGUCUGUCACAUUUUCGAAAAUUUUCUCUUGUAUCUU